UACGGGGGGGGCAAGCGUUGUUCGGAAUUACUGGGCGUAAAGGGCUCGUAGGUGGCCAACUAAGUCAGACGUGAAAUCUCCCGGCUUAACUGGGAGGGUGCGCCGAAGACUGGAAGGCUUGAGUAUGGGAGAGGUAAGCGGAAUUCCUGGUGUAGCGGUGAAAUGCGUAGAUAUCAGGAGGAACACCUGCGGUGUAGACGGCUUACUGGACCAUAACUGACGCUGAGGCACGAAAGCGUGGGUAGCAAACAGG
rnacentral:rRNA from 1 species